CCGACAUCAAAACUUUCGGAAAAGAUGUUAUCGCUGUAGUUGAAAGUGGUUUCCUCGUACGCCAUCAAAAUUGUGAGAGAGUGUGAAACGAAGUAGUUGCGGAAAAAUGGAGAAUCUGAAGAAGAAGAAACUCCAGAGUACGAUCCUUAUAAUUGUGCUAUCGAUCGGGUUCUUGUUGUUGCUGAUCUUCACAAUAAAAGUCAUACGGGAGCUGCCGUUAAAAAUGAACGAAACUCGUCGCAAAUUAUCCAAAUCGAAAGACAAGGCUCAUGAAGAAUUGGCCGAAUCUAUUUCCUUACUACCCGAAAAGACAAUCUAGGGGAUUUCAUCGAGGAACAAGGAGAAAAAUUUCAUCAAGAUAAAAUGGAAAUGGAAAAACUUUAUCAGGGCGGAUGGAAUAAACGUAUGGCUGACUACUGCUGGACUUUGGAAAAUUUUAAAUUAUAAGGGAACGUGGGGCAAAGUGGGCAUCCUAAGCGAUUAAGCUACAUGUAUCGGUUUACAUAUGGUCUUUCGUCUACUGUUUUGUCCAAAAACUGAAUCCCCAUGCUUGUUUUUCAUAUCCUUAAAAAAAAAAAUUAUGGGGCAAAGUGGGCACCUGUUCUGAGAAAAAAUGCUCAAAUAACAAUUUAAACUAAUUUUCACACAUGUACAAUCAAAUUGGAAGAAAUUUGUAUUUAAAAAAAAAAAAAAAUGUAAACGGGGCAAAGUGGGCACUUCGUUGCGAGGAAAAAUUUUUAUGCCCACUUUGCCCCUUUUUUUUAUAAUGAAAUUUUGGAAAGAGGAAGUUAUUAAAAUUGUGAAUGUUCGCGCUUACCUCCAUUUGGCAAAACGCAACUCACAUAGUAAUCACCCGUUUCAAAAUAUGAAUUGUACCUGUUCAUGUGCGUAGUUGAUUUGAAAAUUAGUUUUAAAAAUAAACAUCAUCCGCACUGUUCAAAAUGUUACGAAAUCACUGCAUCGCGUCACCUGGAAAAUAUUGAAAGACAAUGAUAAACCAAACACUGCAAGGAGGAGAACGCAGCCUCGAUCCAAUCUCAUUUUCGAUUUUUGGCCAUUACAAACAUUUUUCCUUCCCUCAUCAGAAACUUAGCUCUUAAAUCUAAACAUCUUUCUUUCACAGAAAAAUAUCUUUAUCCCAUUUCUUUCUUGACUAUCUCGUACAAAAAUUAAUGAAAAAAAAAAUUAACUCACUGGUGGCACACGAAAUUUUCUUUUACAAUAAAAGAAAUCAACAAAAUCGAGAAAACCGAAGAAGCCCGCUGAAUUUUCGUCAUCAGACGUUUCGUGCAUUUUUUGCGAGGAGCUUUAUUCCCAAUCGAUCGAAGAUUGGAUCUGCUGCAUAUCAUGUCGGAAGUGGGCUCACAUCCGUGUGCAGGUGUCGACGAUGAUGACGUCAGUUACCGAUGCGAUUUUUGUAAUAAAUACAAAUAAAAUAACCAUUUCGUAAAAUUACAAAUUUUACAAAAAAGGUAAAUUUUCAAUUUUUAUAUUUAACACUUUCCAAGUUUCUCGUUUAAUAUCCCAAAUUAAUUGAGCAAUUAACACAUAAAAACUUGUAGAAGUGGUUAUGGAACCAAAAUCUGAGUUGAAAAAAAAAUGUUAAAAAUUAUUUUUUUAUUCAUUUUUGGAAGUGCCCACUUUGCCCCGGGUGUCCACUUUGCCCCACAUUCCCAUAAAUAUAAAAUUUUUGAGAUAAGUGAGUUAUAAAAUCUCGACUGCGUAGUUUUUAGAAGUCGUGGGAUUAAGAGAUCAUUUCGUUAAGAAUAGGGCUCAAAAUUUAUUUAUAUUUAUAUGAGUUUUUUCAAUAAUUUUAUUGAUAAAGUAGUGUUUAAAAAAAUUUUUUAUCAUAGGAAGCGCAUAGAUCCCACUAUCAUAUGGGACUUUAAUUUUUUUCACCGAACAAAUUCCCUACAAAUGGCGGCCACUUCAACUUCAAAAGUAAGAAGAAACCGAGUAAAAAUACACGGCCCGUCUUAACUCGCUCUGCUUACAAAAUUUUUCUCUGCAAUACUUGACAUCAAGACGCUGCCGCGUCUCUUGACGAAGUUUUAGCGGAUUUAUAAGCGUUUUUUGGCAUUGAAACAAAGCCUUGAUGUGUAGAAUAUAUAAGAAUAUCAUAAUUGUAUCAACGUCGCAAAAAAUUGUUCUUUUUUCUGGACCUGUGUAAUCGAUUGUUAUGAACAAUGCAGAAAAAGAAAAAAUAACGAGUCGUCUCACCUUAUCUGAAAAAAUUAAUCAAUUUUUUUCCCCGGAAGACUGCAUCGGAUUUUAGAGAAGAAAUCUACUUUAUCGACCAAUAACGAUUAUCCGUUCCAACUUCCAGUAACAACCGCGAAAGACCGACAGGUCGAAAAAACCGUGAGAAUCUUUGAUUUCUAACACAACGAGAGGGUCGGUAAAGUAGACAUUUCUAAGUGCAUUGAUGAUACUCAAUCGGUCAAGCAUUCAAACAUUUAUUUCCUCAAAUGAAUUUCAAAUUUUUCUGACGAUGCUCUGUUGGAAAAAAUAAAUGGGAAAUCUUCUUGCCCUCAAUCCAUUUUGGUCGGACGUAUAAUUGAAUGUAAAACUGUGA
rnacentral:lncRNA from 1 species